rnacentral:rRNA from 1 species
AGUCGAGAAUUUUUCACAAUGGGGGAAACCCUGAUGGAGCGACGCCGCGUGGAGGAUGAAGGUCUUCGGAUUGUAAACUCCUGUCAUGCGAGAACAAGAAAGUGAUAGUAUCGCAAGAGGAAGAGACGGCUAACUCUGUGCCAGCAGCCGCGGUAAUACAGAGGUCUCAAGCGUUGUUCGGAUUCAUUGGGCGUAAAGGGUGCGUAGGUGGCGUGGAAAGUUGAGUGUGAAAUCCUAGGGCUUAACCUUAGAACUGCACUCAAUACUCCCAUGCUAGAGGAAUGUAGAGGAGAGUGGAAUUCACGGUGUAGCAGUGAAAUGCGUAGAUAUCGUGAGGAAGACCAGUUGCGAAGGCGACUCUCUGGGCAUCUCCUGACACUGAGGCACGAAGGCUAGGGGAGCAAACGGGAUUAGAUACCCCGGUAGUCCUAGCAGUAAACGGUGCACGUUUGGUGUGGGCAGGCUCAGACCCUGUCCGUGCCGGAGCUAACGCGUUAAACGUGCCGCCUGGGAAGUACGGUCGCAAGAUUAAAACUCAAAGAAAUUGACGGGGGCCCGCACAAGCGGUGGAGUAUGUGGCUUAAUUCGAUGCAACGCGAAGAACCUUACCUAGGCUUGACAUGCAUCUCUAAGUUGGUGAAAGCCAGCGAGUGGUAGCAAUACCACAAUUUGCACAGGUGCUGCAUGGCUGUCGUCAGCUCGUGUCGUGAGAUGUUGGGUUAAGUCCCGCAACGAGCGCAACCCCUGUGUCCUGUUGCCUGCAAAGGCUCUCUGGACAGACUGCCCUGUGAAACGGGGAGGAAGGUGGGGAUGACGUCAAGUCAGUAUGGCCCUUACGACCAGGGCUGCACACGUACUACAAUGCCCAGUACAGAAUGAACCGAAGCCGCGAGGUAGAGGAAAUCUCAAAAACUGGGCCCAGUUCGGAUUGAAGGCUGCAACUCGCCUUCAUGAAGCCGGAAUCGCUAGUAAUGGCGCAUCAGCUACGGCGCCGUGAAUACGU